ACGGCCAGCUCUCACAUGGCCUCCCAUGGAGGGCACUGCUUACAUGAGUCUGGCAGUUGGUCAUUCUGACGCCCUCAAACACUUCCCAAGAUGAGGACCUCGGCCCCUCUGGCUCUCCUAUGGGUGGAGAAGGGCCUAGUCUGAGAGGAUCGGAGCCAGCCCAGGCCUCACCUCACCCAACCAUGUUCC
rnacentral:lncRNA from 12 species